rnacentral:rRNA from 1 species
AACGGCUAUACCAUGCUGAAUAUACCGGUUCUCGUUAGAUCACCAAAGUCAAGCAUCAGUGGGCGCAGUCAGUACUUGGGUGAGUGACCAUCUGGGAACACCGCGUGCCGUU